AAGUGCGCCAAAACCUUUUGCGAAUUUGCCAUAGCCACCGCCCUCUGAUGCUGCCCUCAGCAGAAACUUAAGAGCACCACUUAGUGGGGUUGGAAUAGGAAUACUGGGGUGGCUUCUGGCGAGGAAUAGGAGCACUCAGAACAGGUCCAAGCUCGACUGCAUUCGAAUAAACUAUAGAAAAAUCUGCGGCUUUUUAUAGCUGCCCCAUCAAUAGGGAGGAGCGUGGCGGGGAGUGGAUUUGGAUGGCUAUGAGGAUGAGCAUGAGGACGAGGACGAGUAUGACGAUGUGGAGGACGAUGAGGUGUGGUGAAAGACAGAAAGGAUGUAUGGAAUCGGUUCAAGAGUGUUGUGGAAAGGCGUUGAGUAGUUCUUGGGUAAAUGGGCGUGGCAGGUCUGUGGGACUCACAAAAUCUGCAUACAGAAAACGGCCUCAGAUUUUAUAGUGGGUGCGAGCCGCAUCAAGGUCGGCCGUAAGUCGAAGGGAAAAGCCAAGUGUUUAUUAUUUAUGAUUUUUGCAAUUAUAAAUUGAAUAACUACCUCCUUGUUAAUAAAUUACACACUUAAAUAGCACAACAAA